GCAAUCAGCUCUUUCGGGAUAAGCCAAUAACCUUGAAUAAUAAAUGUUGCAGAAAAUAGUACGGAUGGUGAAUAAAUACUGACUUCCCGCUUAUUUCAGUCUAUGGAGAUUGAAUUAAUUCAGAUGGCAUAUCCCGAAAAAUAAUGAAAUGACGCAGAUUGGAAAGAUGCAUGAACACAGACGCUGGAAUGAGGACUGCAACGAAUGUUUUGGCAGAGAGCACUGUAAUGGGGUUAACGUUCUAGUAUAAUUGGAGUCAAUUCAAAAAUAAUUUUAUCUCGCUGGCUAUUUAUUUUUCGCGAGUUGUAUUUUCAUAUGUAAAUAGACCCCCAUAUACACAAGAGCAUGAACACGAGAUGCUAGAGUUAAUGGAACUGUACCAACGAGUGAGAAAAUGCCCGAGUGAAGCGAUAAUUUAAUUUAAUAUUAAUCUCAUCAAAUAAUGUUACCAAAUUUAUUUGACAAAGUUCUGCAAUCGAUGAAUCAAAAAUGAAAGUAUACACGAGCUCAUUCUCCUCUUUUCUCCCGGUUGAACAUAAACCGUCGCACGUACGAUAUUUUUCUGACUGUUUGUCAUUGCCCUCUAUGGGCGGAACAUGUGGCUGAAAACAAGAUCGCCCCCACCCCCGCCACGUCCAGUGGACAAAGCAAUAAACCACGAGUAUAGAAAUAAGAAUAAGACUCACCUAUGCGAGAAAUAAACUUUAUAGCAUUGAAAUUGUGACAUUGGAUGCCACUAGAUGGUGCGAUGAUAGCGACAAAGGGGGGGCUCCGUUUGUACUUUUUCAACUGUACAAAUGAUGAACAGUAGAGAGAAUUUUCAAACGUUGAGGGCACCGGUGUGCAGGGAUCCAACUGUCGAGACAAAAAUGUGGCUGUACA